rnacentral:sRNA from 1 species
UUGCCACUGUUGCGGGCAGAUAUAAUGAACGUGAGCGUCGAUCGCGCCAGCUGUGACAAUCAAUUUCUCGCCGGCGAUGACUUCAGUAUUGGUUCCAGCUAUGAGGUUCAGGUUGACACCUUCCAUGACAUCUGGGUUCCCUGCUUUGCCAAUCCCCACUAUCUUUCCGCCACUUAUCCCAAUGUCGGCCUGUAUAGGAUGAAGGCUAAGUAUGAGAUAGACUGGGUAGUACGAGCGGCUUGCCUUGUAA